GGGCCCGUAGCUCAGGUGGUUAGAUUGCACCCCUGAAAAGGGUGAGGUCGGUAGUUCAAAUCUAACAGGGCCCACCA
rnacentral:tRNA from 14 species